rnacentral:ncRNA from 1 species
UACAGAUUUGGUCCUAGUCUUACAGUUAUUUUUUACUAAACUUACACAUGCAAGCAUCAACAUACCAGUGAAAACGCCCCAAACCCCAUUCAAAGGAUAUAAAGGAGCAGGUAUCAGGCCCACCAUAGUAGCCCAAAACACCUAGCAAUGCCACACCCCCAAGGGACACCAGCAGUGAUAAAAAUUAAGCAAUAAGCGGAAGCUUGACUUAUUUAUAGUUAAACCAACUAGGGCUGGUCAAUCCUUGUGCCAGCCACCGCGGUUACACAAGAGGCCAAAAUAACAUCGUAACGGCGUAAAAUGUGGUUAAAACCAAUCAAAACAAUUAAGAUAGAUUAUAAACUUUUCUGUCAUAAGUUAAAGUAUACCCUAUCACAAUGUGAAAACAAUCUUAAUGUACUGAUCAACUUGAACCCACGAUAGCCAAGGCACAAACUGGGAUUAGAUACCCCACUAUGCUUGACCCUAAACACAGAUUUUUCUCAAUACAUAAAAAUCCGCCAGAGAACUACUAAUUACUCAUUUAAAACUCAAAGGACUUGACGAUACCUCAAACCCAACUAGAGGAGCCUGUUCUAUAAUCGAUAAUCCACGAUCUACCUCACCACCCAUAGCCCAUUCAGCCUAUAUACCUCCGUCUUCAGCCUACCCUAUGAAAGUAUAAAAGUAAGCACAACAGUCAACACACUAACAAGUCAGGUCAAGGUGUAGCCCAUGGGGUGGAAGAAAUGGGCUACAUUUUCUACCAUAGAAAUACACUUUAACGGAAGGGACCUUGAAACAAGACCCAGCAAGCAGGAUUUAGCAGCAAUGUGAGAACAGAGAGCCCACAUUAAUCAGGAUCUGAGAUGCGUACACACCGCCCGUCACCCUCGUCAAAAAACAAUUAAUUAUAAAUAAACCAAAUGCAACGUAUAGAGACGAGGCAAGUCGUAACAUGGUAAGUAUACCGGAAGGUGUACUUGGAAUAC